ACAAAUUUUUCUCCAGUGCUGCUUUUUUCAAUAUCUUUCCUUAAUUCUCUUCCUUACCUAUCAAGGUUGGCAGCGCCGCGAAUUUUAUUUAGUAUCGCCUAUCGACGCUGCCGAAAUUGCGGUGUAAUUUACAUUCCAUACGCCAACUCAUGUUACAUAUUUCUAUUCUCGUGAAGAUAGUGAAUUUACAGUAAAAAAUGAUUCAAAUUUUCGCGCGUUCGCUGGAGGGUUAACAGAGUGCCGUACCGGACCGUCGAAAACGUCGACGUGAUAGAAAUCGUCCUCGUAUCCGAUGGACGAGUUGUAACAACGGUUGAAAAUCCUGGGGAACCGGGGCUCGGAGAGGCAACGAACGAACGAGAUGCGGAGGACGACGAUAAAGGGAUAUCCGUUGAAGGAAACGCGAGACGCGAGGGAAAAUCACUUCGGGCAGUGCGAGCGCAAGUGGGAGAAUGGAGAAGAGAUACGCUAAGAAUCGCGCCACCGGUGCGUCGAUAACGACCCGAACAUCGGGAAACAGGGGACGGGAUAAGCGAUCCGGGAAAUUCGCGAGUCUCCGCCGUGUGGGAAGAACGAGCGAGGCUCCGACGGCGGAGAUCCACGGAUCGAGGAAGACGCGACGGGGGAAUCCGAUCCCGUCGACGAGCAACGAGUUCGCGGUGCGGAAGAGGAUUCCGAGGUCGUCGAAGCAGAGGACAAUUCGGCUCGCGAGACACCCGUCCGCGGAUCGCAGCGAGACGGGAUGCGAACGAGUCGUUAUAUCGCCAGAGGAGAAACAAUUGGCGGACAGUAAGAUCCCGAGGAGAGCAUCCAAGGGAGCGAUGAAGUCGACGAGCAACUUCGAGCCGACGACGAGCGGAAAAAGUUCGACCUUUUUCCAUCGGAAGCAGCAGGAAGCGACGCUGAGGCGGCGUCAGAACGUACAAGCCGCCGAGGCAAUGAGGAGAGAAAAGGGCAGACAAACACUGCAAAAAUAGUGACGCCCCAAAAGGAGGAGGAGCAGUACCUCCGAGGAAGAGCCGGUCAAAGAAGUCAUCGAGCAGAUAAGGUCGGGUCAAAGGGAGGCACGGAAAAAAAAUUAUCCCACGAACCAGAGCGUGAUAGUCUAUCGUACAUCCACGUCUUAAACGAUGAGAAGCAGCACGAUUGUUCCGGUGGUUUGAAACGGUUUCCGAACGACUCCGAAACUCACACCGACGAAGAUAGGCGGUAGAGUGGAGUGGCGACCGGUCCAGCACCAAAAGUCGAGUCAAGGAGGGGAGAGAGCAGGUGCGAUACCCAACCUCACCUCACCCGAAUUACUAGAUGUGGACACGUCCGGGUCACUAGCGAACGUAACCGGAAGAAGAGAACGUCACGUGGCCAUCCUGACGGCUCAGGAACAAACCGAAGUCGUCCUGACCGAAAUCUGAAGGGGGAACCGGCCACGGCGAGGAAACAACCGAAUUGCAUUAGCCAGACCACGACUCGAAGAACAAUCAGAACUGUUUAUUUUUCUCGUUAUCAAAAGUUUUAAAUUAUUUUUGCUAAAAGUGUGGAUGUUAUUUCUAGAAUAUAUUCAUAAUAUUCGAUAAAUAAAUAGAACAUCGCGGACGAACUACCAAAGUAUACCCAGCGAACACCAGGUUGCGGUUACAUAACUGUUAGUUGUAAUUCCCUACUGAACAAUGUAACGAUUGUAUAACGCGUGUGUUAUAAAUUGGUGUUUGCUAGGUAUUCUGGGAAUGUAUGAAAAACGACAUACUAUAUAAUAUACAAAAAAUAUUAAGCUAUGCCUACAAUAAGUGUAGUAAGCCUUAGCUGUAAGAAAUCGAUCAGUCACAAUAGAUCGUUCUCACAUUCGACUGUGAUUGGUCCGUUUCUUAUGGAUUAAAGUUUACUACGCCUAUUGUAGACACCGCUUUACAGAAUUACAACCUCUAGUAUUGAUUACUGCCCAGUAAACAUCAAUUAACAGUAACAUAAAGCUAAUGUUAUAAUUUCUCACUUAAUAACAUAAAUGUAACUUAACGUGUGUGUGUUAUAUUACAUUUACAUUACUGUUACAUAACAUUACAUGAUAUGUAAUAGUUACAUUAUUGAGUAAAUAAUUGUGACAUUGAUAUUACGUUACUGUUGAUGUUUACUGCGUAGCUGCUAUAAAAAUAAAU